GGGCCUAUAGCUCAGGGGUAGAGCAGCCGGCUCAUAACCGGUCGGUCCCUGGUUCGAUCCCAGGUGGGCCCACCA
rnacentral:tRNA from 3 species